UCGGGCUCAUAACCCGAAGGUCGCAGGUUCGAAUCCUGUCCCCGCCA
rnacentral:tRNA from 1 species